UACCAUUUGAUCAUAUUCAUCAUUUUAUUUAUUACUUCCUAUUGGCGUUACUUACUAAAUAAUGCCGAUUAAAAGAAAGUUUUUUCUCCAUGCUCCAUCAUUUUUGUUUACCAAACUCUGUAGGAACUAGGUGCAAAGACUCGCUCACUCUCUUUCUCUCCUACACCCACCAGAGAAAAUUAAACCCUGCCAUAGCCGAUGCGGCUGAUGUUACCGAAAUGGCUAGCUCAAGUACACCUUGUGUCUAACGUCCAUAACACAAGACAAAACGAUCUCGGUACGUGCACCAAUGUCAUAAAAGAGGGGAGUCACUUUUCCACUGGGCACAGUCAAUAUGUUGACAUUGUUAGAUCGAUGAACGUAGGCCUUGUCAUAACUGGCGAGACUCGACGGUAUGAUAAUGGAAAGUAGUGCAAUCAGAAGCUAUUAAUGGGCUAUUAUAGAAAAGGGUAGGCUUUUUUUUUCAUUGUCUCGACGCUGGAUAUGAUCUGGUGUUAGAUCAAUGCCUAUCCUUCACUUCCUCUGUGUGUCCUUUUGCAUCUUUUCCUUCUCUUUAAUGUUUGAUAUCGUCCUUUUCUUUACUGCUGACACUGCCU
rnacentral:lncRNA from 1 species